AUCUAUAGCUCAGUGGCAGAGCGUUCGAUUGCAGAGCUGUUGUCUCCCAUUUUUGUAUAGUGCCGGUGCCGAUUUUUCUUUUUAAUAGUACUUGUAGCAUGGAAUUCCAAUACAACUUGAUGCAUCUUUCGAAUGGUCGCUGGUUCAAACCCGGCUG
rnacentral:ncRNA from 14 species